ACGAACCUUCGGGUUAGUGGCGGACGGGUGAGUAACGCUUUUGACUCUGCCCUCAGGAGAGGAGAUAACGGCUGGAAACGGCCGCUAAUACCCCAUAUGCCGAGAGGUGAAAGGAAAUUCGCCUGAGGAUGAGCCCGCGUCUGAUUAGCUAGUUGGUGGGGUAAGAGCCUACCAAGGCGACGAUCAGUAGCUGGUCUGAUAGGAUGAUCAGCCACACUGGGACUGAGACACGGCCCAGACUCCUACGGGAGGCAGCAGUGGG
rnacentral:rRNA from 1 species